UACGGGGGGGGCAAGCGUUGUUCGGAAUUACUGGGCGUAAAGGGCUCGUAGGUGGCCAACUAAGUCGGACGUGAAAUCCCCAGGCUCAACUUGGGAACUGCGUCCGAUACUGGAUGGCUUGAAUUCGGGGGAGGGAUGCAGAAUUCCAGGUGUAGCGGUGAAAUGCGUAGAUAUCUGGAGGAAUACCGGUGGCGAAGGCGGCAUCCUGGACCGAGAUUGACACUGAUGAGCGAAAGCCAGGGGAGCAAACGGG
rnacentral:rRNA from 1 species